UUGGGUUAAGUCCCGCAACGAGCGCAACCCUUGAUCUUAGUUGCCAGCAUUCAGUUGGGCACUCUAAGGUGACUGCCGGUGACAAACCGGAGGAAGGUGGGGAUGACGUCAAAUCAUCAUGCCCCUUAUGACCUGGGCUACACACGUGCUACAAUGGAUGGUACAAAGGGCUGCGAGACCGCGAGGUUUAGCCAAUCCCAUAAAACCAUUCUCAGUUCGGAUUGCAGGCUGCAACUCGCCUGCAUGACGNCUGGAAUCGNUNGUAAUCGC
rnacentral:rRNA from 1 species